GCCAGAGUGAUGGAAUUGGCAGACAUGAAGGUCUCAAAAACCUUUGUUCGCAAGAACAUGUGGGUUCGACUCCCACCUCUGGCACCA
rnacentral:tRNA from 1 species